rnacentral:rRNA from 1 species
AUUGAACGCUGGCGGCAGGCCUAACACAUGCAAGUCGAGCGGAGCGGCGGACGGGUGAGUAAUGCCUGGGAAUCUGCCUGGUAGUGGGGGAUAACGUCCGGAAACGGGCGCUAAUACCGCAUACUAUCAGAUGAGCCUCGGUCGGAUUAGCUGGUUGUUGGGGUAAAGGCCUACCAAGGCGACGAUCCGUAACGUGUCUGAGAGUAUGAUCAUUCACACUGCAACUCGGAUCCGGUCCAGCCUCCUAACGGAGGCAGCAGUGGGGAUUAUUUGACAAUGGGCGAAAGCCUUAUCCAGCCAUGCCGCGUGUGUGAAAAAGGUCUUCGGAUUGUAAAGCACUAUAAGUUGGGGGGCGUUACCAACAGAAUAAGCACCGGCUAACUUCGUGCCAGCCGCCGCGGUAAUAC